UUUGGAGAUAAAGUAACCCAAGUGUCUCAGCAGACUUUUCCAAAAUGAAGACACGCCAUCUACUCCAGCGCAUACCGCACACACGGAGGAAUUUUGCGAGGUCAGAGAUCUUCGUGGAGCCUGGGACACCGGGGGUUAACGCCUGUCCCUGGCAGCUGAGCAGCCCCACAGCUGCCAGCAAUUAGGCCGGCUGGCAGGCCCCUUAGGAAACUCCUGCCGCCUGAUGAGGACUAAUUGCUAGCCAGCAUGUAAGUCCCGAUCGAUAGAAAUGGAAAUCCAUUAGGGAAAGGCUGGGCAGGGACACCCUGCCUUCUGGCGAGCGUGCACGUCCGUGGAGACGCCCCGUAUUGACUGCGUGCUCCGAACGCGCUCCCCGUGCCCGCGUUACUGGACAGUUACGCUGAGAAGGACUCUCGUGGUUUCCCUUUGACCCCAAAAGAGAGUCUUCUUUACCCCCUGUUUUGGUCUAUAACUGAAAGAAGCCUGUUUCUACCAAGAAUGGCAUGACGACAACCGUUCCUUGGGGAUCCAAGCAAUGUGUCGGGGGAGUGUGCAGAGGGCACAUGCCUGGGCGCCUCGGACGCUUGGUCCAGGUGUGGGCUGUGGCUGGGCCUUCGAGUGCGGGCGGUUCUUCUGUAUUAGGGAGACUCGUUCACAGACUCAUUGGCAGCUGCUGAAAAAACUUACUUCAGACCCUUGCCAGUUUGAAAUUUGUGACCGGGUGCCAGAGAAGAUGGCAGUGUUCAUGGGAACUAUUUCAACCAACUGUAUGCUGGUUCUGAGAAUACAAAGAGGUGUAAGAUCUGGGACUUGCCGUCAAGGGAUCCUACGGUCUAUGAUAAGUGCAGCAGAAGGCGAACAGAAAAGACUGCAGCUGGAAUGACCUGGAUUACGCUGUGCGGUUACAUCUCUAAGGCAAAUGGGAUAUCCUAAGAUGUGUAAUCACUCACUCUCGUUCUCCUGGUUUCAUGCAGCGUCCCCGGUAUCUGCUGCCCAUCUAACUGAAGAUGUGCCACUUCUCUCUCUUUAAGUCUG
rnacentral:lncRNA from 1 species